rnacentral:rRNA from 1 species
UACGAAGGGGGCUAGCGUUGCUCGGAAUCGCUGGGCGUAAAGGGCGCGUAGGCGGAUCUUUAAGUCGGGGGUGAAAGCCCAGGGCUCAACCCUGGAAUUGCCUUCGAUACUGGAGAUCUUGAGACCGGAAGAGGUAAGUGGAACUGCGAGUGUAGAGGUGAAAUUCGUAGAUAUUCGCAAGAACACCAGUGGCGAAGGCGGCUUACUGGUCCGGUUCUGACGCUGAGGCUCGAAAGCGUGGGGAUCAAACAGG